UAUAAAUAAAAGUGUCACUACCGUUCAACUCACUACAACAAAAACGGUCUAUAGCGACACUUUUAAAUGUAGGCACAUGUCAAAAAAGUGCUACUAGCUAAAAUUACCGACACUUUUAAAAAGUAUUGCUAUAUGUGGGGUCGCUAGGUAUAUAGUGAUAGUUAAAGAGUGUCGCUAUAACCUAGAAGAGUGCUGCUAAUUUACCAACACUUAUUUAAGCAUUUAGCAACCGCCGAAACUCUAUCUCGUUGGCUGCGGUGGCGGAGGAGGACGACAGGAAAGGCUCUUCGUCUAGAAUUUUAGUGGAUUGAGUGAAGAGAGAAGAAAAGAUGGUAAUUGAUUUUUCUUUUUUUUUUCUUUUCUGUUUGUAAUCGGGCCAAAUGGACUGGGUGUGGUGGGUUGAGUAGAGUAAUCUUUUAUUUUUUGUUGAAUUGGGCUUUAUAUUUAGGCAUUACUAGAUGUUUUUUUAAGUUUUAGGAUAAAUGGGACACUUACUCAAAAGUGUCCCAAACAUGUGUCCCUAUAACCUAAUUCUGUUGUAGUGACUCUAUGUCAUGGCAAACGG
rnacentral:lncRNA from 1 species